rnacentral:rRNA from 1 species
GUAGGGAAUCUUCCGCAAUGGACGAAAGUCUGACGGAGCAACGCCGCGUGAGUGAUGAAGGUUUUCGGAUCGUAAAGCUCUGUUGUUGGGGAAGAACAAGUGCGAGAGUAACUGCUCGCACCUUGACGGUACCUAACCAGAAAGCCACGGCUAACUACGUGCCAGCAGCCGCGGUAAUACGUAGGUGGCAAGCGUUGUCCGGAAUUAUUGGGCGUAAAGGGCUCGCAGGCGGUUUCUUAAGUCUGAUGUGAAAGCCCCCGGCUCAACCGGGGAGGGUCAUUGGAAACUGGGAAACUUGAGUGCAGAAGAGGAGAGUGGAAUUCCACGUGUAGCGGUGAAAUGCGUAGAGAUGUGGAGGAACACCAGUGGCGAAGGCGACUCUCUGGUCUGUAACUGACGCUGAGGAGCGAAAGCGUGGGGAGCGAACAGGAUUAGAUACCCUGGUAGUCCACGCCGUAAACGAUGAGUGCUAAGUGUUAGGGGGUUUCCGCCCCUUAGUGCUGCAGCUAACGCAUUAAGCACUCCGCCUGGGGAGUACGGUCGCAAGACUGAAACUCAAAGGAAUUGACGGGGGCCCGCACAAGCGGUGGAGCAUGUGGUUUAAUUCGAAGCAACGCGAAGAACCUUACCAGGUCUUGACAUCCUCUGACAACCCUAGAGAUAGGGCUUUCCCUUCGGGGACAGAGUGACAGGUGGUGCAUGGUUGUCGUCAGCUCGUGUCGUGAGAUGUUGGGUUAAGUCCCGCAACGAGCGCAACCCUUGAUCUUAGUUGCCAGCAUUCAGUUGGGCACUCUAAGGUGACUGCCGGUGACAAACCGGAGGAAGGUGGGGAUGACGUCAAAUCAUCAUGCCCCUUAUGACCUGGGCUACACACGUGCUACAAUGGACAGAACAAAGGGCUGCAAGACCGCAAGGUUUAGCCAAUCCCAUAAAUCUGUUCUCAGUUCGGAUCGCAGUCUGCAACUCGACUGCGUGAAGCUGGAAUCGCUA